rnacentral:rRNA from 1 species
AACGAACGCUGGCGGCAUGCCUAACACAUGCAAGUCGAACGAGACCUUCGGGUCUAGUGGCGCACGGGUGCGUAACGCGUGGGAACCUGCCCUUAGGUUCGGAAUAACUCCCCGAAAGGGGUGCUAAUACCGGAUAAUGUCUUCGGACCAAAGAUUUAUCGCCUUUGGAUGGGCCCGCGUUGGAUUAGCUAGUUGGUAGGGUAAAAGCCUACCAAGGCGACGAUCCAUAGCUGGUCUGAGAGGAUGAUCAGCCACACUGGGACUGAGACACGGCCCAGACUCCUCCGGGAGGCAGCAGUGGGGAAUAUUGGACAAUGGGCGAAAGCCUGAUCCAGCAAUGCCGCGUGAGUGAUGAAGGCCUUAGGGUUGUAAAGCUCUUUUACCCGGGAUGAUAAUGACAUUACCGGGAGAAUAAGCUCCGGCUAACUCCGU